rnacentral:rRNA from 1 species
CCUACGGGAGGCUGCAGUGGGGGAUAUUGCACAAUGGGCGAAACCCUGAUGCAGCGACGCCGCGUGUGGGAAGACGGUCCUCUGGAUUGUAAACCACGGUACCCAGGGACGAAGAUGACGGUACCUGGGGAGGAAGCUCCGGCUAACUACGUGCCAGCAGCAGCGGUAAUACGUAGGGAGCGAGCGUUGUCCGGAAUUACUGGGGGUAAGGGGAGCGUAGGCGGGACUGCAAGUUGGGUGUCAAAUCUACCGGCUCAACCGGUAGCCGCACUCAAAACUGCAGUUCUUGAGUGAAGUAGAGGCAGGCGGAAUUCCUAGUGUAGCGGUGAAAUGCGUAGAUAUUAGGAGGAACACCAGUGGCGAAGGCGGCCUGCUGGGCUUUUACUGACGCUGAGGCUCGAAAGUGUGGGGAGCAAACAGGAUUAGAUACCCCAGUAGUC